UAUUUUUUCGAUUUCGUAAAA
rnacentral:piRNA from 1 species